UCUCUAGUAUGCAUAAACGUUCAAACAUGUACAUGUAGCAAUUGGCAUAUGAUGGUGCUAUAGCCGAUCCCAUGGCAGUCCCCCUGAGUUGGACAUAAAAAUUCUUCUCAAAUCUAAAAUAAUUGUGGUGUAACAGAAAUCCCAAACUGUUACACCACAAUUAUUUUAGAUUUGAGAAGAAUUUUUAUGUCCAACUCAGGGGGACUGCCAUGGGAUCGGCUAUAGCACCAUCAUAUGCCAAUUGCUACAUGUACAUGUUUGAACGUUUAUGCAUACUAGAGA